AUGGAAGAGGUAUCUGGUGGAGACGGGGGCUCGACGGCGGUCGCUCCUGAAGCCUUCAGAGUGCGUCCCUCCCACAGCUUCCAGGUGCAGAUGAAGCUGGAGCCGGUGGAUAAAAGAUGUCCGGGCCUGAUCCGCGUGGCUACGGUGCUGGAGGUCCCCGGGAGAGAGCCUGACGACCCAGCAGCCCAGCUUCUCCUCCGUGCCUCAGCCCCUCCGAAUACAGCUUCCACCACAGGUCAGACUUCAGCGUCUCUAUAAUGCAUUAGUUCAGAACGUUUAAUACACUGCUGUAAAAAUAAUCAAGCUGUCAGAAAACAGAACAGACGGGUUUCUGUCACUCAGAAAGUGCCCUACUCCGGGAUGUGUCGGGGAAGGUCAUGUGACCGGCCGCUUCACUGCACAUCAUCACUGUUUAUCUGGCUGCCCAUUGGCUGAGAGGAACCAGGGCCGGUUUAAAGCGGAUCUCUCUGAAACAGAAGGAUCCAGACGUAACCAGCUGGUCUUCGGCCGGAGAGCGAAGAAAUUUCAAUACCAAGGCAGGUACAACAACAUUCACAUGGUGUUAAUCAAGUGUAACUGUGUAUUUGUACAUUAAGGAUUUUUGUAUAUUAAAGAGAUUUAUAAGUCCACUGUGCUUGCUGUCACCAGGAUUGGUCGCUCCCCUAAAUAUCACAAAAGUCAGCAAAGACAUUGUGAGUUUGACUUUACAACAUUUUCAAUAAAAUUGUCAAUAAAAUUCCAGUAAAACAAAUAAAUCAAUGCAUUUUAGAGUAAAAGAUAACAUCCUCUCAUAGGGGAAAACACACACAGGCCAUUCAUUAUUUGCACAUGGACUAUAUUAUUAUAUAUAACGUAAUCACUUAUGUUUCGAACACUUUUAUUUUGAAUCGAAUAAUGCAGUAUGAAUACAGCUUCACAGGUCUGAAUGUAUGGGUUAUAACAUAAUCUACAGACACAGCAAACAAACAGCAGUCAGUAUGAGGUUAAUGUAAUAUCUCUGCUUUAUCUGCAGGUCUUUGGAUUCGUCAAUUGUCUUGUUGGCUGUGAUGGGCAGUCCCGAGUUUUCAAAGAUGAAGUAAGUAAUAAUAAUAAUAAUUCCUUACAUUUAUAUAGCGCUUUUCUAGACACUCAAAACGCUUAAGUAAUUAGCUUCACUAAAUUUCUCUAUAUAAUGGUACUUGUUGAAGAAAGUAUCAUUAGUAUUAUUGUGUAAAAUAGGGAUUUAACUGAGUUGUAAUAAAGCUUUAACCCACAGUUUGAGUUCUGUAUAUGAAGACGCAAUCACAUUUAACUUUGUGCAGUAAAUGUCUGGGGAUGAAAUGCAAGCAUCUCAACAGAAAGCUCAGGUGCUUAUAUAUAUAUAUAUAUAUAUAUAUAUAUAUAUAUAUAUAUAUAUAUAUAUAUAUAUAUAUAUAUAUAUAUAUAU
rnacentral:lncRNA from 1 species